UUGUAGGCGGUUUGUCGCGUCUGCUGUGAAAGCCCGGGGCUUACCCCGGGUUUGCAGUGGGUACGGGCAGACUAGAGUGCAGUAGGGGAGACUGGAAUUCCUGGUGUAGCGGUGAAAUGCGCAGAUAUCAGGAGGAACACCAAUGGCGAAGGCAGGUCUCUGGGCUGUAACUGACGCUGAGAAGCGAAAGCAUGGGGAGCAAACAGGAUUAGAUACCCUGGUAGUCCAUGCCGUAAACGUUGGGCACUAGGUGUGGGGAACAUUCCACGUUUUCCGCGCCGUAGCUAACGCAUUAAGUGCCCCGCCUGGGGAGUACGGCCGCAAGGCUAAAACUCAAAGAAAUUGACGGGGGCCCGCACAAGCGGCGGAGCAUGCGGAUUAAUUCGAUGCAACGCGAAGAACCUUACCAAGGCUUGACAUAUACUAGACCGCCUCAGAGAUGGGGUUUCCCUUCGGGGCUGGUAUACAGGUGGUGCAUGGUUGUCGUCAGCUCGUGUCGUGAGAUGUUGGGUUAAGUCCCGCAACGAGCGCAACCCUCGUUCUAUGUUGCCAGCACGUAAUGGUGGGGACUCAUAGGAGACUGCCGGGGUUAACUCGGAGGAAGGUGGGGAUGACGUCAAAUCAUCAUGCCCCUUAUGUCUUGGGCUUCACGCAUGCUACAAUGGCCGGUACAAAGGGUUGCGAUACUGUGAGGUUGAGCUAAUCCCAAAAAGCCGGUCUCAGUUCGGAUUGGGGUCUGCAACUCGACCCCAUGAAG
rnacentral:rRNA from 1 species